rnacentral:rRNA from 1 species
GACGAACGCUGGCGACGUGCUUAACACAUGCAAGUCGAACGGAAAGGCCCUGCUUUUGUGGGGUGCUCGAGUGGCGAACGGGUGAGUAACACGUGAGUAACCUGCCCUUGACUUUGGGAUAACUUCAGGAAACUGGGGCUAAUACCGGAUAGGAGCUCCUGCUGCAUGGUGGGGGUUGGAAAGUUUCGGCGGUUGGGGAUGGACUCGCGGCUUAUCAGCUUGUUGGUGGGGUAGUGGCUUACCAAGGCUUUGACGGGUAGCCGGCCUGAGAGGGUGACCGGCCACAUUGGGACUGAGAUACGGCCCAGACUCCUACGGGAGGCAGCAGUGGGGAAUAUUGCACAAUGGGCGGAAGCCUGAUGCAGCAACGCCGCGUGCGGGAUGACGGCCUUCGGGUUGUAAACCGCUUUCGCCUGUGACGAAGCGUGAGUGACGGUAAUGGGUAAAGAAGCACCGGCUAACUACGUA